UACGUAGGGUCCGAGCGUUGUCCGGAAUUAUUGGGCGUAAAGAGCUCGUAGGCGGUUUGUCGCGUCUGCUGUGAAAUCCCGAGGCUCAACCUCGGGCCUGCAGUGGGUACGGGCAGACUGGAGUGCGGUAGGGGAGAAUGGAAUUCCUGGUGUAGCGGUGAAAUGCGCAGAUAUCAGGAGGAACACCAAUAGCGAAGGCAGCUCGCUGGGACGGUACUGACGCUGAGGCGCGAAAGCGUGGGGAGCGAGCAGG
rnacentral:rRNA from 1 species